CUUUUCUCCCUCCUCAUCUAAGUCCUAGCUAUCCUUCUAGACAACCUAUUUCCCACCUCCUCUGGGGACCUCUGAGGGUUAACUUUAUGUAUAAAUGUGAUACGGCUAAAGGAUGCCCAGAUUGCUCAUGAAAUAUUAUUUCAGGGUGUUUCCAGAAGAGGUUAGCUUUGGAAUUGGAGACUGAGUGGAGAAUAUGCCUCACCAAUCCACUGGAGCCAUCCCAGAAGACCUGACAGAGUUCCCAACAGCUGGGGCAACGAGUCCUUCAGAAGGAGGAUCUGGUGCUGCAGUGCCCUGACCCCACGAUUUGACUCAUGGCUCUCACCUCCCCCACCUGCUCCAAGCACAGUCCCUGGAGAGAAGGAAACAUAGAGACUGAGCCAACCCUUGUUGUACAGCUUUGAAAAGCCCACACUGAGUUUUCUAGGAAUACACAACUACUACAUAAAUCAAGGGAACAUGCAUAC
ensembl:lncRNA